GAUGAACGCUGGCGGCGUGCCUAAUACAUGCAAGUCGAGCGAAUGGAUUAAGAGCUUGCUCUUAUGAAGUUAGCGGCGGACGGGUGAGUAACACGUGGGUAACCUGCCCAUAAGACUGGGAUAACUCCGGGAAACCGGGGCUAAUACCGGAUAACAUUUUGAACCGCAUGGUUCGAACUUGAAAGGCGGCUUCGGCUGUCACUUUGGGAUGGACCCGCGUCGCAUUAGCUAGUUGGUGAGGUAACGGCUCACCAAGGCAACGAUGCGUAGCCGACCUGAGAGGGUGAUCGGCCACACUGGGACUGAGACACGGCCCAGACUCCUACGGGAGGCAGCAGUAGGGAAUCUUCCGCAAUGGACGAAAGUCUGACGGAGCAACGCCGCGUGAGUGAUGAAGGCUUUCGGGUCGUAAAACUCUGUUGUUAGGGAAGAACAAGUGCUAGUUGAAUAAGCUGGCACCUUGACGGUACCUAACCAGAAAGCCACGGCUAACUACGUGCCAGCCGCAGCCGUAA
rnacentral:rRNA from 1 species